rnacentral:rRNA from 1 species
GACGAACGCUGGCGGCGUGCUUAACACAUGCAAGUCGAGCGGGGUGAUGGUGCUUGCACUAUCACUAGCGGCGGACGGGUGAGUAAUGCUUAGGAAUCUGCCUAUUAGUGGGGGACAACAUCUCGAAAGGGAUGCUAAUACCGCAUACGUCCUACGGGGGAAAGCAGGGGAUCACUUGUGACCUUGCGCUAAUAGAUGAGCCUAAGUCGGAUUAGCUAGUUGGUGGGGUAAAGGCCUACCAAGGCGACGAUCUGUAGCGGGUCUGAGAGGAUGAUCAACCACACUGGGACUGAGACACGGCCCAGACUCCUACGGGAGGCAGCAGUGGGGAAUAUUGGACAAUGGGGGGAACCCUGAUCCAGCCAUGCCGCGUGUGUGAAGAAGGCCUUAUGGUUGUAAAGCACUUUAAGCGAGGAGGAGGCUCUUUUGGUUAAUACCCAGAAUGAGUGGACGUUACUCGCAGAAUAAGCACCGGCUAACUCUGUGCCAGCCGCCGCCGUAA